AUUGAACGCUGGCGGCAGGCCUAACACAUGCAAGUCGAACGAGUGGCGGACGGGUGAGUAAUGUCUGGGAAACUGCCCGAUGGAGGGGAUUACUUCCUGGAACCGGUACCAAUACCCGCAUACCUUCGGAUGACCCCAGAUGGGAUUAGCUAUUGGGUGGGGUAACGGCUCACCUAGGCGACGAUCCCUAGCUGGUCUGAGAGGAUGACCGGCCACACUGGAACUGAGACACGGUCCAGACUCCUACGGGAGGCAGCAGUGGGGAAUAUUGCACAAUGGGCGAAAGCCUGAUGCAGCCAUGCCGCGUGUAUGAAGAAGGCCUUCGGGUUGUAAAGUACUUUCAGCGAGGAGGCGUUACUCGCAGAGGAAGCACCGGCUAACUCCGUGCCAGCAGCCGCGGUAAUAC
rnacentral:rRNA from 1 species